GGAGGUGGCAAGCGUUACUCGGAUUGAUUGGGUGUAAAGGGUAUGUAGGUGGCAAAUUAAGUCGAAUGUGAAAUCCCUUGGCUUAACCAAGGAACUGCAUUCGAAACUGAUUUGCUUGAGCGACGGAGAGGAAAGCGGAAUUCCCGGUGUAACAGUGAAAUGUGUAGAUAUCGGGAGGAACACCAGUGGCGAAGGCGGCUUUCUGGACGUUUGCUGACACUGAAAUACGAGAGCUAGGGGAGCAAACAGGAUUAGAUACCCUGGUAGUCCUAGCCGUAAACGAUGUGCACUAGGUGUCUGCCUCUGGGCUAGGNNNNNNNNUUAACACUUUAAGUGCACCACCUGGGGAGUACGGUCGCAA
rnacentral:rRNA from 1 species